GCUGAACAGAAGCAGUUGCUUCUCCUCUCCUCCUGCAGCCUGUUUCAAUCCACAAUCCCACCAGCAACCACCAGAAAAGCUCCUGCUGCCUCUCCUUGGGAAAGCACAGCCUUCCCAAGGCCCAGCUGACAGGAAAAGGAUCCCAGUAGCCUGAAACUACGGCUUUCUGACCUUAACUCCUCAGUAUCAUCUUCCGUCCCUCCUGGAGUCUAGCUGGAUUGCAGGGCAGGUUGGACCUGUACUACAGAGAGUGGUUUGGAAGAAAUUCCCUUGGGAUAAGGAGCCUGGCGUUUCCAUCUUCCCAUGAGCAGGGGGCGUGAGGUAUACAGCCCUGAAGAGGGUGUAGCAAAGAAAAAGUACCAACACUGCUGCAUAUCCACUGUUUCCUGACUGACAACAAAAUUCUCCUGAGUUUGAAGGCAAGGUGUAGCUAGAAGCCAUGAAUUAAGAGUGUGAAGGUUAAAUGAUCUCCUGAUCCUUAGAGCUGACCUGUCACAUCAACCUGGAUGCUUAUUAGAAAU
rnacentral:lncRNA from 1 species